UCUGCCCCAGAGUAUGUUGGAAGCUCCUUCUUUGGAGGCUUUUAAGCAGAGGCUGAAUGGCCAUUGUUGGGGGUGCUUUGAAUGCAAUUUUCCUGCUUCUUGGCAGGGAGUUGAACUGGAUGGCCUGUGAGAUCUCUUUCAACUCUAUGAUUCUAUGUGUCACGUUAGGGAAAAGGCAGGAUUGAAAUGAAAUUAAAAUCUGCUGAAAGCAAACUGUAAUGGAUAUAAUAUGUAGGGGGAAAGAAGCAGGACAGGAUAAUCUACUCUAGAGCAAGGGACUAGAUUAUCUGACUUUUUUGAAAACUCGGACCUGUGAUUACAUUUGUGCAUUUUGGAGGGCAUUUCCAUAUAUAAUAUGAUACGGUGUGGAAUUUCAUAUGACGGCUCUCCAUAUAGAUGAAAGCAAAUCAUGCAGAUAAUUUUUUGAAGAUAAUUCUAAUUUUCAGUAUGUUAUACAUAACACUAUGUAAUAAAAGUUGAAAAUAAUUCUGUUCCUGGUUUGAAAGUGUUAUUUCCUGUUUAAUUGUGUGGUAUUUACUUUAAAAGUGGUUGUUAUACUCCAAAAACUUUGUUUUUGUAGCUGCCACAAACAAUGUUGAAUUGGUUGCUAUGGGAUGCGAUAUUCACUGAAAAACAAUAGCAAAACGUGCCUCAGGAUGUCCCAUAAAAACAAAGUUUUUGCAGUUUAAUAUACUUUUCCCAUGUUUUUAAUGAUAGAAUCAAGUAGGAAAUGACAUUUAGAAACCAGGAACAAAAAUAAUGUUAACAGUGUAAUCCCUUAAUUUUAGAAAACCUCUAUUUAUGGCUCAUUUCAUUCUCAGUUCCUUACUACUAUCUUCAAGUAGUAUUUGCUUCUCCUUGCCAUAAAUACACCUGUUGCUCUUUAUGCCUCUGGUCCCACUUUAUACCUCAAAAUAUCCUUAGUUGUGUCAGUCUAAACAUGAUAGGAAGCACACAGCCAUAUUGAAGAGAGUAUUUCUGCCACAUUAUUUGUCUCUGAUAAACUAUUUAACUGAUCAGGCUACGUGGCUAAAGCUUGGUGGCGGGGUUGGUCUACAACCAACCUAAUUACUUCUAGAAACUGCUCACCUUCCAUCAAAGAUUGAAAGGUUUUCCAUUUUAUACACUCCAUUUUAUACAUUAUAGAAUCUAGAAAAUGGUGUGACUGCAACUGCAAUUCAAGAAACGCCCUGUGUAGCAGAUUAGCCUACCUUACAAGGAUGGUGGAUAGGUAGCUUCAGGCCUUGCUUGCAAACGGUAAGCAGAGCAAGGGGGAGGAGAGAUCGGGCAGCCAUUACUGGAAGUGCAGUCUGAUUGGUUGAUGUAAGUGGGGAGAGUUGCUUAGCAACUGGAGAUGGGCGGAGCCAAAGUGAUAGUUGGAGCUAUGCAGCCAGAGAAUUAUUCAUUUUUAGUUAGGAAGUUGGUUGGUUGGUGUUUGGAGUGUGAAGAUAGAGAUAGUUUUGGGAGCUGUGUUAUUAGAGAGAUACCUCUUUGAGGAAUAUAGUUAAAAGCCUUCAGGGAAGAAAGGCUAAGAAUUAUACUGAGACUUUAUAAUUUAGAGUGCUGGUGUUAAAUCCCAGGAGAAGUGGAUUUAAAGGUUUAAAUUGUCCUGUUUGUAUUUCCUGUGUGAAGGAACAUAUUUUCACAGAAUUCAAGUUCUAAAAUCAUCCUUUGUAAGAGAAAAGCCUAACUUGUUAUUGAAAUUGCAUCUUUACUGUUUAAGAACAAAUAAAUAACACCUUCUUGUUUUUCAUCACAUAAAGUGUCUUGUGUGUCUCUCUAAAUAUCCUAACACAGAGGAGGCUCCUGAAUAUAACAUUGGUGGCAGCGUUAAUAGGGGUAACGAGUUUGAAUCCUCCAUAUAUUGGUGUCAGCGGGUGGCAAUCUGUCUAACACAUGUCGAGUCCUCCAUAUUUUUGGUGGCAGCUGAAAGCAAUUCUCUGCACCCUGCUUUUGAAUUGAUACACGUGGUGAAUUCAAAGCUACAAUCUCAAGAGCAAAAACUACUUUCUGCCCUUUCUGCUUCAAUCCCUGACCAAUUUUCACAAGCCUGCCAGGAGAAACUCUCUCUUCUAAAUCAAUGACCUAGUUUUGCUCUUGCUCUUCCUAAUCCUUCUAGUGAGAACACUUAAGUCACAGAAAUGACGACUGUGGAAAGGGGAUGUGACGAAUUCUUGUAGCCCUGAACUCCAACCUCACUUACAACUGAUAUUCUAACAACCAGGAGGCAAAAUUCACUAAGAAAUUGUAAGACGGGAAAUACACAUUGAUCACCUAUGAAACUACAUCACAGCUUUCCCCCACUUCACUGUCCAUCACAGAAGAUGGAUAAAAAUCCCCUGCGUCCUCAGGUUUGGCAGGUAUCAAGGGCUAUUGUUAUCAAAAACUGCCUUUGCAGCUCCCCUGAGUUUCAAAAGACAUUUGCCUCAAAGCAUGACAAGUCUGUCCAGAAGAAAGAAAGAGGAAGGGAGAAGGAGAAUUCAUUACAUUAUGCUUUGGAAUCUGUUACAUGUAUGUAUUAAUUGUGGUUUGCAACUUGUUCCUUCCCUACAAUCUUGGUUUGGGUCUCGGUUAUCUUUUUUAUUUUGUAUUUAUAUCAAGGAGAAUGUAUUCAUGAUAUUCUAAAACACAAAGCUGGGUUAAAGCAAUGGCUAACUAAUACAUUGGUAGAAAUAAAUUAAUACAUUUGUGAAUGUCUUUUGCCGUGUAAACCCUAGUUACAUUUCUUAAUUAUAAAUGUUAACAGAUCUAAUUUAGUCCAAAAUGUUUGAAAAGGCCGAACUGAUAACAUUAAAUGAAUUACUAGUGCUGAAUUGAAAGUUAAUUCAGCACUUGUGGUCCCUCAUUUAUGAUAAUAUCAGUAAUCAGUGUCAAAAGGAAGGAGAAGUAGCUUUAAACAUUAGGAAUAAGUGUAUAGUUUGAUUGUUUAAUAUUUUAAUUAUGUCUAUUUUAAAUCAUGACUUGUUAAUUUGUUUUUUAAAUGCAUUCUCUGAUGUCUUAAUUGUUGUUUUUAUGAUAUUAUAUGAUUAUAUUGGGCUUGCCCCCGUGUGAGCUGCUCCAAAUCCCCGUUGGGGAGAUGGAGGCGGCAUACAAAAAUAAAAUUAUUAUUGUUGUUGUUGUUGUAUACUAAAACAGUGUAUUAGUAAAGAUUUUCACAUCUCUAAA